rnacentral:rRNA from 1 species
UGCGAGUCUUUGCAGUAAUGCAAGGCAUACGGCUCAGUAACACGUAGUCAACUUACCCUAUGGACGAGGAUAAUCUCGGGAAACUGAGCAUAAUACUCGAUAGAUCAUAAUGCCUGGAAUGGUUUAUGGUUGAAAUGAUUCGUCGCCAUAGGAUGGGACUGCGGCCUAUCAGCUUGUUGGUGAGGUAAUGGCCCACCAAGGCGAUUACAGGUACGGGCUCUGAGAGGAGAAGCCCGGAGAUGGGUACUGAGACAAGGACCCAGGCCCUAUGGGGCGCAGCAGGCGAGAAAACUUUGCAAUGUGCGAAAGCACGACAAGGUUAAUCCGAGUGAUUUCUGCUAAAGAAAUCUUUUGCCAGUCAUAAAACCACUGGUGAAUAAGGGGUGGGCAAGUUCUGGUGUCAGCCGCCGCGGUAAAACCAGCACCUCAAGUGGUCAGGAUGAUUAUUGGGCCUAAAGCAUCCGUAGCCGGCUUUGUUAGUUUUCGGUUAAAUCCAUGUGCUCAACGCAUGGGCUGCCGAAAAUACUGCAUAGCUAGGGAGUGGGAGAGGUAGACGGUACUCAGUAGGAAGGGGUAAAAUCCUUUGAUCUAUUGAUGACCACCUGUGGCGAAGGCGGUCUACCAGAACACGUUCGACGGUGAGGGAUGAAAGCUGGGGGAGCAAACCGGAUUAGAUACCCGGGUAGUCCCAGCUGUAAACGAUGCAGACUCGAUGAUGCAUUGGCAUAUAGCCAGUGCAGUGUCGCAGGGAAGCCGUUAAGUCUGCCGCCUGGGAAGUACGUACGCAAGUAUGAAACUUAAAGGAAUUGGCGGGGGA